rnacentral:misc_RNA from 1 species
UCGUAAAGGUGCAUGAGUGGUGUUUGGUUUGUUACGUGUGGUUGGCUGCGGCGUUUGCAACAACUUCCAUGCUUUCAGACCUCUUCAGUUGUGCGACAAGGCUUGUAUCGCCUUGAGCGUACCGUGGGUUUUCUGUGUUGGCUACCUAAUCAACGGUAUCGGUUGGAUUGAUCAAAGUUUGAUUUCGUCUUCCGUCGCGUUCGCGGCGUGAGGUGAACCUCGAUGCGGUCUCUUUGAUCCACCUCGUUGAAGCACAUGCGUYGGCGUUGUGGCACAUUGAGCAUUGCUUGGUCUCUUGUAUACGGAACAUAUAGUGGGCAAGGAUCUGACGAUCCUCGUUUGCCCUCAUAUUAGCGUAACGCUUCUCUAACACGACUCGCGCCACGUUUUAGCUCGUACGGACGUGGUGCUGCGUCGAAGAGGAAUGCUACCUGGUUGAUCCUGCCAGUAGUCAUAUGCUUGUCUCAAAGAUUAAGCCAUGCAUGUGUAAGUA